rnacentral:rRNA from 1 species
AACCCAGACUCCUACGGGAGGCAGCAGUGGGGAAUAUUGCACAAUGGGGGGAACCCUGAUGCAGCGACGCCGCGUGGGUGAAGGAGCACCUCGGUGCGUAAAGCCCUAUCGGCAGGGAAGAAACAGACGGUACCUGACUAAGAAGCCCCGGCUAACUACGUGCCAGCAGCCGCGGUAAUACGUAGGGGGCAAGCGUUAUCCGGAUUUACUGGGUGUAAAGGGCGUGUAGCCGGGCUGACAAGUCAGAUGUGAAAUCCGGGGGCUCAACCCCCGAACUGCAUUUGAAACUGUUGGUCUUGAGUAUCGGAGAGGCAGGCGGAAUUCCUAGUGUAGCGGUGAAAUGCGUAUAUAUUAGGAGGAACACCAGUGGCGAAGGCGGUCUGCUGGACAGCAACUGACGCUGAGGCGCGAAAGCGUGGGGAGCAAACAGGAUUAGAUACCCCAGUA